UUUUCUUUGUCACUUUCCCAUGGGCAGCUCCACGCAGCACUGGCUCUUUCUUCUCUCUUCCUUCAGGACUGGCUAAAUUCUUUCGGUCCCUUGCAAGAUUCCAGCUCCCUUGGCCAGCUAACCCACUCUUUUAGAACUCCCACCCUUAUUGGACAUAGCUGUGAGGGCAAGGCUGUUCCCAAUCUUUGGUAAUUGGCACAGCUGCAAUUUAUCAGGGGCAAGAUUGCCUUCAGCACUAUCUCUAUCUGUCCUCCCACAUUCAGUUACAUUUUUGUAAUUAUCAAAAGAUAAUGGCAUCUCAGAGUCAUUAUGGUGAACAGUCAAUGAGGUUGCUCUGUGUUUAUAUGUAGUGGUGAGAUAUUAAAAUGCAAAUACAGCAUUUGGACAGAGUGCUUGUGAACACACUGCAGUGUGCUGGCAUGUGUGCCAUGCAUCAGCGAUCCAGGGAAAGUUGUCAGGGAUUUUACUGAAGCUGAACUGGAUUCUCUGUCACAUUCACAAAAUGAAUACAAAGAAAUUUCCCAAAGGCUGUCCAGCAAGGAGUGUGCUUGGCUGCGAAGCAGUGACCCUGCCAGGCAUGUGCAAGGAAUGUGGAACUCAGAUGGUUCCUUUUGUUCAAGUCCCAGCUUCGCUUCCCAGGAACAUGGAUUUGCUGGUGAGAAAUGCCAUGCUGGAGAGCAGCACCAUGGAAAGGGCCCUGGGAUCCUGGUCGAUGGCAAGUUGAACACGAGCCAGCAGUGCCCUGGCAGCCAGG